AACAAUACAGUUUUGACUCUGCAGUCAGAAGAGAGAAAUCCAACCAAAAAAAAUGGGUAACUGUAGCAGCGGCUAUACCUCGAAUCCCCCACCGCCAACCACCAGACCUCCGCCGCCUUCUCAACCCAACGGCGGAGGCGGAGGAGGUGUUGGUGGAGGAGAGUCCCACAUCACCAUCCUCCCCUCCGAUGCGGAUCCUCCGCCGCGACGGCCACUUCCCACCGGCAACGGCCGCAUCCUCGGCCGCCCCAUGGCCGAUGUCCACUCCGUCUACACCUUCGGGCGGGAGCUCGGCCGGGGGCAGUUCGGCGUGACCCACCUCGUGACCAGACGCGCCACGCGCGAGGCGUUCGCGUGCAAGUCAAUCGCCACCCGGAAGCUCGUGACCGCCGACGACGUCGCCGACGUCCGCCGCGAGGUUCAGAUCAUGCACCACCUCACCGGCCACCGGAAUAUCGUGGAGCUGAAGGAGGUGUUCGAGGAUCGGAACAACGUGCACCUCGUGAUGGAGCUCUGCGCCGGCGGCGAGCUCUUCGAUCGGAUCAUCGCAAAGGGGCAUUACUCGGAGCGGGCGGCGGCGGGGCUGUGCCGGCAGAUUGUGACGGUGGUGCACGCGUGUCACUCGAUGGGGGUUAUGCAUAGGGAUUUGAAGCCUGAGAAUUUCUUGCUUCUCAGUAAAGAUGAGGAUUCGCCGCUCAAGGCUACUGAUUUCGGAUUGUCUGUGUUUUUUAAGCCGGGAGAAGUAUUCCGAGAUCUAGUUGGCAGUGCGUACUAUGUUGCUCCAGAAGUAUUGCGUCGGCAUUAUAGUGCCGAAGCCGAUAUUUGGAGUGCUGGAGUUAUCUUGUACAUUUUACUCAGUGGGGUACCGACUUUCUGGGGAGGUAUGUCGAACCCUAAAGAUCGAGUUACUGCUGCUGAAGUCUUGAACCAUCCAUGGAUGCGAGAAGACGGAGAUGCUUCGGAUAAGCCUCUCGAUAUUGCUGUCUUGACUAGAAUGAAGCAGUUCCGUGCAAUGAAUAAGCUCAAGAAAGUUGCUCUUAAGGUGAUUGCGGAAAGUCUGUCUGAAGAAGAAAUCAUAGGAUUGAAGGAAAUGUUCAAAUCCAUGGAUACGGAUAAUAGUGGAACUAUUACGUACGAAGAGCUCAAAGCUGGCCUACCGAAGCUCGGCACCAAGCUUUCUGAAGCAGAAGUGCGGCAAUUAAUGGAUGCGGCUGAUGUGGAUGGAAACGGGACAAUCGAUUACAUUGAAUUUAUAACGGCUACGAUGCACAUGAACCGAAUGGACAGAGAAGACCAUUUGUACAAAGCCUUUGAAUAUUUUGACAAGGAUAAGAGCGGGUACAUAUAUAUAUAAGAAUUGGAACAUGCCUUGAAGGAAUACAAUAUGGGCGGCGACUCUAAUACGAUUAAGGAAAUCCUUGCCGAAGUGGACACCGACCAUGAUGGGAAAAUAAACUAUGACGAGUUUGUGGCAAUGAUGAGGAAAGGGAAUCCGGAGAUAGUCACAAAUAGACGCCGGAAAUAGAAAUUAAAUAUGGCGGAUUCUUUUAUUUACCCGUUUACCUAACCGGAGUAAAUCGUACAUGUUCUUUUUCUUCGCCGUCUUCUUGUCUAUAGCGGAUGCAAAUUUACUAGCCAUUUUUUUUUUGCUCUAAAAAUUACACAUUGUGCAAUUGUUAUCAUUUAUGAGAAGUUUUGUACUCUGAUUUUUCAUACAUACCCUUAUUAGAAACUGCGAUUUUUCGU